AAAAUACUGGCCUUUGUGAUACAUAGAUAACCAAGAAAAUUGAACUCUAUAUCUCAGGAAUGAACCUGAGAAUAAAAAUAUUAUCUAGAAGAAUCUUCUACACUAGAUGUUCCAAAAUCUUUUCUACCCAUGCCAAGCCACUGACUACCUUUCUCCAUCCCAAGUUUGUAACUGCUAAUAAAGCAAGGAGAAGUCUCUAGCUUUAGAGAGAUGGAGUACAUAAAGGUUUCUACUGUGUCACAUGAGACAUACGUGGAAUGGGCACCCUUGAAUCUGGUCAAUGUAAGGAAAGAUGUUUAACAGGUAAGCCAUGGCACAUCACAAUGACAUAAUCAGUAGGCCCUCCCUGAAACAUCUAUUGAAACCUGGAGAGGACUAGCUUCUUCUGUGAUGUCACAAGUGUUGUCGUGACUGCAACUCCCUUCAGAUAUCCCUUCAGUACCUCUAGUGUUUACUAAUUUAACUCUAAUCGAGAGUAAACAGUCAUUGUGGAGUGAGAAGGAAGAGGAUGAUGAGAUCAGAGAUGGGAAGAAGGAAGGUGGUCUUCUGUCUUGUUAUAAAAAAAGGAUGAAAUACAUGGUACUUCGGAAAGCUCAAAAAACUCUCAAAACUCAUCCUGGCUGACAAUGUAGAUUAGACGCAUCAGAUGAAAUGAAUUGAAAAACUCUCCUGGGAAUGAAAGUGGUAAGGAAAUCACAUUGAUGUAUCCUAAAUGCAGUGCUAAGAGCAAUAUUCAGACUAGUCUGGGGAGAUGCUGCUGUCAUCAGAGACCACAGACAAUUAGUGGAGAAUGAUUCAGCAUUAAACUGGGAAUGGAAGAUGAUGGUUGAUAUUGUUCUAGUAGAUCUCACUACAUUAAAAAGUGUUUCUUCCAGAUAACUGAAUGAUUAUUGUAAAGCAAAUCCCGGAAUGAACUUAUGAGACCCACCAUCAGCCUGUCAAAUAAUGUGCGAAAGAAGAAAUCUGUGUCUCUCCAGGGACAAAUUGUUGCUUUCAAACCAACAGUAAAGUGUCCAUUCUAUGAAUGAUACAUUGAUAUAUACACAUUAUAGAAGGAUGGAUACAGAGUUUCUUCAGGUCCAUGAAUGAGGUAUUCAGCAGUUGACCUGGAUCAGAAAUGAAGGAAGCUGCACCCUGUCAGCAUGGCUCACGUGUAUGUGAACUGCAAGAUCUAGUCUGGGAAGGCGGUCCUGUUCAUCGAUCCAACCUGCCCCUAAUACUGAAAUACCCAAGACUUCCUCAAUCAACUCCUUUGCAAACAUGGUCUUCUGGGAUUUGAAGACAUUACAUCUACUAACAACACCAAUGCAAUUCAAGAUUACUUUCAACAGCUCCCUGGAGUGAGAAUUGUUCCUUGGGUCCUUAUAUGUAGAGAAAGACUGCAUAGGCAGACACAGUGAUCUAAUCUACCUGCAACAGAAUGAAGAGAUGAUGUGGCUGAAGCAGAUUGGAGCUCUGCAUUUAUUAAAGGGAUGGCAGUAAAAGCCCAUGCUGACAGCAGACAUUCAGACAUGCUGAAGCCAUGCUGAGACUUGAUGUUUGUCACAGAUGAUGUCAGUAUUUUCUUAUGACUGGGAUUUUCAACAAAUUGGCUUUCAUUCUAUUCCUCAUUCCAAAAAAUCUGUUGCUGUAGGCCUCAAACCAUGGGGUAGGGAAACUUAAGAGACAACAGAGGUUUGAUAAUCCAGUCUUCAUUCACUGACUUGUCUCUACCUCUAAGUCCAUGUUUCACAAUCCAGUGCAUUUAAAUCUCCAGGGAAUCAGUUACUGUUUCUCUACCAGGCUGGUCUGCUGAAGUCAUUUUACAGAAGUCCACUUCCAAGUAAUUAUUAAAGCAAUGAAUAUUUUGAAGUUGUUUAUGAUCUACACACAGGCUUUUUACGCCCCAAGCAUGUACCAUCCCACUUCUGCAUUUGUAGCUCUCAGCCAGUGUUCUCGACCUAUCCAUCCAGCAACCCUUAGAUUCCACACUUUGUAUGAGGAUAAUAUUUGAAAAAACAGAAGAAUAGCUGUAGCAUAGUUGUUCUUCACUGAAGCCAUAUUAACACAGACGGCAGAGCAUAUGAUGCAUUCAUCUCUGUUGUAGUGUUUAAUUCCCCGUAAAGUCCCAAACAAUUGAGAGUUGAUUCUGUCAGAGUACCAGCAAAGUCAAAUAGGAAAUGCAAAAUUUCAGAAUUCUCCUGCCAAAGAUGUUUGUGAAAGAAGUUGUUUGCAAAACACUGUCUUAAUAAAUUUAUUCCAUUCUCACUUUGAUAUUUUGAUUUGAUGUCUUGAAGUGACGUUUAAUUAUCACUGAAAUGCAGGUCCCCUCUAUAGUCUCCAGUAAGAAGAAUUCAUUCCUCAAAAGGAUGUAUCUGCAGAUGCCUGAAAAAAUAAUAGAAAGAAUAUUUCUUGAUAAAGAUCUAGGUUAAAGUUGAAACAUCCUACCACAAAGAUACAUAUAAGAAGUUCAUUUGACAUUGACCUUAUGUUAUGCAGAAAUUCUUCACAUAUUCCCUCUAUCGUUGGGGUUUAAUUAAUCUCGAAUGAAUAGUUGACAAUGAAGAGUAGCCUUUAGAAUCAUUUUACCCUUUUCAGUAAUAGUUUUAAGCAAAUGGAACACUAAAAGAUCACAAAGAAGAAAUGGUUAUAAUCAAAAGAUACAUGUGGGACAGUCUAACUCUCAUGGUCAAGAUGACUUUGCACAUGCUCCUUAUGGUCAUGGAUUUCUCUCAUAAUACUCUGCAGAAGGUUGUUCCUACUGCCUCACUUUAAGGUCCAGGAAUUCCAAGCUACCAGAGCUGUUCAAGUUCCCUUACAAUGCACUUGAAAGCCACAUAUGCUUAGGAACUUUUGAUGUGCUUUAGCUCUAUUGUCAGGUUUUUUUAAGCCUCUACCAAAUAGCAAGCUGUCCUUUUUACCCCCUUCUCAACACCUCUAAAUCUGCCCUAACUCAAUUUCUCAAUUGACAUUAGUCAUAGCUCAGCACCCCAAAUAUGCACUCAUCUUACUGUGUUUUUAACAUCCUGCCUGCUACACCAAUGGCCACUCCAUACUAGAUCUCACAUGACUGGUAACUCUUGCUCCACCCUAAAUCCUUUCUCCACCCUUGUGUCUACUAGCCUGUUGGUAGAAAUCCACACAACUGAUUGGCCAAGAGCAUCUUUAUUGAACUAUAGAGAAUCAAUUUGGGAACAGGACCUUCAGUGUUCGCAGGAUGAUUCCCGAUCUACGAAUCAAAACAAUAGCAAACAAGACUCAAUCCAUGUCUCUGGUUUUGGGAGGGAGAUAGAGCACUUUGAUUCAGAGUUGAAAUUUAAAUAAUUAUAAUAUAUAUGUAGUAUUAAUUAUGCCAGGAUAAAAGGAUCCAAAAAGUGGAAAUGGGCAACAUUAAAGGCAAGAGAAAAAUCCCUAGUACAGCAAGCAAUGUGGACCUGUUAGAAAGACUGGUCUCUUUCCAGCCAUCUGAAUUUGUACUUGAAAUUCUUCUAACCACUCUUGAUCUCUGCAUGUAGAAAAGAACAAAAAGAAAAAGAAAACAAAAUAAAACAAAAAAUCACCAAAAUGAAACCAAAAGCAAAAGCAAUAGCUAAUCAACCCAAUCCUAAAAGAAGAGGACUGAGUGAAGAUUGCUUGAGGUCCUCAUUUUUAACUACAACUACAAGUCACCAAUAGAUUUCAAUGCAAAAGUUUGUCAUUAUUUUAUUUGAAACUUCUCUGUGGGUCAAAGAAACAAGGUUUAUAAGCUGCAACAACAGGAAAGAGAAAAAAAAUCAUACUGUAGAGCUCAACACUGAUAUUACUAUGGUGACUGUGGGCAAUGCAGAGAAUAUUGGUGUUUGACAAUGGGUCUUGUGGUUUUCUAUAUGCUGGCAAUAUCUAUGACUCUGAAAUGAAUUAGAGUCAUCACCAAAUCAUCACUAAAUGAACUGCUCCUUUCUUUGGAGCACAAGAUCUGGCAAACUGUUGACUGACUAUGAUUUUUAACUUGGAUCUAGCCUCUGUGGUAAAGCUAAGGCUUCUGAUGCAAAAUCCUCCACCAAAAUACUGGACUAUCAAUUGUGCUGCCAGCCAAAAACCAAGUCCUGACUCUACCCUGCAAUCCAGAAGAGGUUUCAAAGUGUCAAACAUAACAAUAUUUUAAUUGUGGCUUUGUCUUUUUUUCACUUUUUAUUUUAAAUAAAGUGUGAUUUCUGGCAUAAUUCCUGCUAAUUUCUUCCUCACAUAGAACUUCACUUUUGACCUCAAAUUCCAUUCAUGAAGGGGUACUCUUAUCUUUCGUUGGCUAAGUUUUCUAUUUUGCUUUUAUGGCUUGCUGUGAUUGCUUAUUGUGACUGUCUAAAUGAUGCAUUAUUGAGCAACUGACUCCAUAAGAAUGGCUUGCGGGCAUCAGUAUUUUGCAUUUUCUUGAUGGUUAGUUUAUGUAAGGUGACUUAGCCCACUGUGGAUGGUAACAGCACUAGUAAGCUGAGGAGGUUACAGAGAAAAGGUAGCUGAGCAGAUUAGUAAGCAGAGUUCCUCUUUAUUUUCAUGCUGCUGCCUUGUGUUCUUUUCUUGGAUUCCAUUG